rnacentral:rRNA from 1 species
UACAGAGGGUGCGAGCGUUGUCCGGAAUCACUGGGCGUAAAGGGCGCGUAGGUGGCGGCCCAAGUCCAUGGUGAAAGCUCGAUGCUCAACAUCGAGUCGGCCACGGAUACUGGGUUGCUUGAGCACUGUAGGGGCAGAUGGAAUUCCGGGUGUAGCGGUGGAAUGCGUAGAGAUCCGGAGGAACACCGAUGGCGAAGGCAAUCCCCUGGGCCUGCACUGACGCUCAUGCACGAAAGCGUGGGGAGCAAACAGG